rnacentral:lncRNA from 1 species
UAGGAGUCAUCCACACGAGCCCACGAAUCUCGAUCAGAAGUUCUGCUUCAAGAAAUCAGCACAGUAUGCUAGUACUGCGCUGAUCCUUCUUUGAUGGUUGAUCAGGUGCCUCCUUCUUCUUGAUUUGGACUCUUCCAAAGAUGAAAAGUAGAAGAAGGAGUUUCAGAUCUGAGACACUCUCAGGUGCCUCCUUCUUCUUGAUUUGGACUCUUCCAAAGAUAGAAAGUAGAAGGAGGAGUUUCAGAUCUGAGACACUCUCAGAAAACUCA